rnacentral:rRNA from 1 species
GAUGAACGCUGGCGGCGUGCUUAACACAUGCAAGUCGAACGGAAAGGCUCCUGCUUGCAGGGGUACUCGAGUGGCGAACGGGUGAGUAACACGUGGGUGAUCUGCCCUGCACUUCGGGAUAAGCCUGGGAAACUGGGUCUAAUACCGGAUAGGACGAUGGUUUGGAUGCCAUUGUGGAAAGUUUUUCGGUGUGGGAUGAGCUCGCGGCCUAUCAGCUUGUUGGUGGGGUAAUGGCCUACCAAGGCGUCGACGGGUAGCCGGCCUGAGAGGGUGUACGGCCACAUUGGGACUGAGAUACGGCCCAGACUCCAACGGGAGGCAGCAGUGGGGAAUAUUGCACAAUGGGCGCAAGCCUGAUGCAGCGACGCCGCGUGGGGGAUGACGGCCUUCGGGUUGUAAACUCCUUUCGCUAGGGACGAAGCGUUUUGUGACGGUACCUGGAGAAGAAGCACCGGCUAACUACGUG